UCUCAUCCUCUUUCACACACUGAACACUGCUGUGACCUCAGCCAGCUUCUAUGACAAGCCACAAAGCUUCUGGUUGGCCAAGCUUUUCCACUGCCUGGAAUAACCUCACUUUCCUCUCUGGCAGGCACACCCGACCACAGGCAGGUGGAAAUGGAAGAUGCCAGAGAAGCCCAGCAAAGCUGAAUGCGGCUGCACCUUGCAAAGACCUUUUGUUCUGUAUAUCGACAGUACAAAGUAUGGUUAGAGAUGGAAUGCUGAGGCACAUGGAUAGAACUGUCAGGACAAAGAGGCUGGAGUCAAGAGAAGACAUAGUGAGCUGGU